AAUCAACGCUGGCGGCGUGCCUAACACAUGCAAGCCGAACGAGAAAGGGUAGCAAUACCUGAGUAAAGUGGCGCACGGGUGAGUAACACGUGACUAACCUACCCUGGAGUGGGGGAUAACUGAGGGAAACCUUAGCUAAUACCGCAUAAUACCUACGGGUCAAAGGAGCAAUUCGCUUCAGGAGGGGGUCGCGGCCGAUUAGUUAGUUGGCGGGGUAAUGGCCCACCAAGACAGUGAUCGGUAUCCGGCCUGAGAGGGCGCACGGACACACUGGAACUGAAACACGGUCCAGACUCCUACGUGAGGCAGCAGUGGGGAAUUUUGCGCAAUGGGGGAAACCCUGACGCAGCAACGCCGCGUGGAGGAUGAAGUACUUCGGUACGUAAACUCCUUUCGAUCGGGACGAUAAUGACGGUACCGGAAGAAGAAGCCCCGGCUAACUUCGUGCCAGCAGCCGCGGUAAUACG
rnacentral:rRNA from 1 species